AAUACAAAUUCAUACUUGGGAUUGAACUGACUCAGGUGCAGGACCUUGCAUUUGGCUUUUUUGAACAUGAUGAGCUUUGCACAAGCCCACCUCUCAAGCCUGUCCAGGUUCAUCUAGAUGGCUUCCCUUCCUUCUGUUGUAUCAACUGCACAACACAGCUUGGUAUCAUUGGCAAACCUAUUGAGGGUGCACCCAAUCCCAUUGUCCAUUUCACUGACGGAGAUGUUAAAUAAUACCAUUUCCACUACAGACCCAUGAGGGAAACCACUUGUCACCAGUCCCCAACUGGACAUCGAGCCAUUGACUGCUCCUUUCUCAAUGUGUCCACCCAGCCAAUUCCUUUCCCACCAAGUGUUCCAUUCAUCAAAUCAAUGUCUCUCCAAUUUUGAGACAAGAAUGCCACAUGGGACAGUGUUAAAUGCUUUUCAGAAGACCAGAUAGAUGAUGGCAGUUACUCUUCUCCCAACCACCAAUGCUGUAACCACAUUGUAGAAAGCCACCAGAUUUGUUAGGCAUGAUUUGCCCCUAGAGAAGCCACCUUGGCUGUCACCAAUAACCUCUUUGUUUUCUAUGUGCCCUAGCAUAGUUUCCAGGAGGAUCUGCUCCAUGAUCUUGCCUGGCACAGUGGUGAGACUGACUGGCCUAUAGUUCCUUUAGUUGUCUUUUUUUCAUUCUUUAAAAGCUGGGGUUAUGUUUUCUCUUAUGAUGGAUAGCGGCUUAGCAACUUCAUCUGUCACAUCACCACAACAGACUCUGCACAGCAAUGCAAAUUAAGAUACGUUUCCAUAACACUGCAUCUCAUCCAGGCCCUUGAAAGAUUAUUAUCCUCACAGAAAAUAAUUAUCUUUGACAAUUGAAACAUUAGACCUUUUAGGAGAGUGACCGUUUAAAUGUGGUUUAAAUGUGGUUUAUACUGACCUGAUUAUCAAGUAAUUUCAGAUGGCAAUAUGACCUAUUCAGGAGCAUAUGUAAAUAAUGUACUUAAUUUCAGGCAUAUGUUUCAAUCCUAGCCUCUUUCAGAGGAAAUGAACAUAUGCUUGAAUAUUUUGAUAAAAUGGGAUUUUCUCAAUACUGACCUCAGUGAGCCGUCAACAAGCAAUCAGAAAUGGGGAAGGUGCCCUGUUACCUGCUCCUUCAGCUCACCACACACCACUGCAGAACACCCUCUGCUGGGAACUGUGUAAGCACAGCUGAAGGUAAAGGCACAAGUAAAAUUUGGGCAGGAUGUGGACCUUUUUCACAAUAUUAAAUCCUUUUACUUAUUUACUUAUUUAUUUUCACCCACAGUACUGCCCAAAUUGUUUUAAACUGAUGCCUUUUACUUUAACAGAUAGCAGAAAAAGCCUGUGAGCUCAUAUUCAGAGUAGUCUUUUUUUUUUUUUUUUCCCAGUGAUUAUUAAAGCACUGUUUAAAAAAAUCUGUAACUGUCAGAAGAAAGACUUUGCAAACCAAGCUGAACAUAAAUGCUUACUUACACUAUACUGUAAAGUCACUUCCAUCUACUAAAUACUUGCAUUUUGUCAUUUGACAACAUAUGUUAUUUAAGCCAUAGUUUAAGAGUCAUGGUCAUAUUUGUGCGUUCUCUUCGGGCCUCACUAAUUGCAAAGUGAAAUAGCCUCAGCAGUAAAGGAAUGCUUUUCUGAUCUGUUUUGUUUUGCCUCUUGUUUUUGUUUCCUAUUAAUAUACAGACACUGUUUAAGACACAGGCAUGAGUUCAUAUCCCUCUGACAAGUGUGGAAAAGUAAGCUUAUGUGUACUUUAUUGUGACUGACUGCUUUAACCCUUUGAACCCCACCUCUGAUAUUCAACUUCCUUAGAACAACAGAGCACAAUAGGUCUUCUCUGUUAGUGUCUAACUGACAGUAUCCUUUCUGCAAAUACUGUAGAGAAAAAUCUAGAUCGUGAAGCCUGAGAGGGCUUAGUCUAAGAUCAGUGCUUCACUCAUUAGUAAGUCCCAAAGCAGAACUUUAGGUACCAUGAGAGCUUUAAUUUUGGAAACUUAGAGCUCUGCAGACUUCACGUGUGAGUAGGCAGCUGCAAAGCAGAUAUUUAAAGCAUCUGUGUUUUGUAUUUCAGUUCCUAAAUGCUGGUUAUGUCCCAUUUUAGAUGCUUACGCCCUUUUGACAAUGUCACCUAUAAAACUGAAAUCUCAAAGGUAUAGAGAGUUCUGUGAGAGUGUCAGUCUCUCACUGGGUUAAACAGAAAUUUGCUAUCUAUCUUUGCUAUCUAUCUUUGAGCAUUACAGCUUUAGGAUGCUAAAUCUUAUUGAGAAGCAUGGCACUUAGAUUCUUAAAUACCUCAGCAUUUCAUAAAAAGAGAGUUUAGCUGUGCAAGAAAUUGGGGCUAGUUUUACCUUUUUAGGUAUCCAACUGGCUAGCAGAAACUAAUCCUUGGAACUGAAUUAGAUGCCCGAAGCGAAGUCCCUGUAAAAUGCUGUGUAGUAGACAGGCAUCUGAGGGAAAGGUAUAUCUGUAUUAUGUUUGUUACAGAGUUCCACAGUGUAGAAAUACCAAGCUUGGGUACUGAAGCAGCCCACUGUACUCCAUGUUAUCCAGGCUAAUGUACCUUGAGAAUAUAGGCUCUCUGCAGUAGCACACAAGAUCGUUUAGAGUGUACUUUGAUAUCUUCACAUAGCACUGUCGGACUCUGCACUAAAGCCAGAUCCUGUAAAUGGGACUGAAAAAAAUCCACAUGGUUCUGAGUAAGGACCUGAUUAAGCCACUAUAGAGAACACUGAAUAGAAGUGGGAAUAAACUCUCCUCCUUGAAGGUCAGAGUAAGGCAUGUAUCUUUACUUUUGGAUUACACACGAAAGCCAGGUCAGGUCUUUCCAGAGAAAGAGCUAGUUCCUACCUCUUAUAUCCAGUGUUAAAUGAUUUUGGUUUUCAAAUCCUUCACUGGCCUGUUUUCAAACUGAUUUGCAGCCACCAGACAGCUAAACUAUUUAGUUCCAUGGGGCCUGUCUUUUCUUAGUCUCUCUUGUUUUUACUCUGCUCUUUCUUCUUGCACAAUUAGCUAUUCAUUGAAGCAAAACUUUGAUUCUGAUUUUCAUCCCCCACAGCUAUGAGUUUAACAGAUGGAUUAGAGAGUUAGGCAAUAGCAAGAUUUGAAAAUUUAUGUACAGCAAAAUGUGUUUUAGGAGGUCAUCACAACUCACUUUUUAGCUGUGUUUUCUCACCCAUGUUCUCCAGUUUACCCCCUCUCAGUUCUCCUUUUGCAGUUGGUGGAUGGGCAUGCAAACCAUGGAGCAUUCCAAAGCCUGGUGCUUCUAACUCCUGUAAUUUCAGCUGUGAUGAAAUUCUGGGACUACUUUGUAGUCCCAGAAACAGUUCCACCAGAUUGAAGGAGGGUGGGGAAACAUAAAGGAGUGUGGAUCAGGCUGAGUGAAUGCCUAGAGGCAGGGACCUCUAGGUAAUUCAUGGGAAACAUAUUAAUGUGGGACUAAAUUAAGAGUGCCCCUGCUCCCUUGUAUUUUGGCUUGAUUAGUAGUAAAAUACAGAAAUGAGUCCACACUAAAAUGCUGCAACAUUUCAUCUGUAUCAGUACAGUCAAAAGAGUACAAAGUUUCUGUAUAGUGUAGCCCUAGAAAUUUAUAGGCUUGUUCAUUGGACAUGGUCCUUACAAAACUGGUAUCCAUAUCCAAGAAUCUUUGCUGUUGGCAGUCCUGGCAGACUGACAGAGUGAAAUCAGUGGAUAUGGAAAAUGAAUUGACUCGGUACUACAAGGAGCGGCUUUUCCAAGGUCAAUAUUUGAAGUGCAUUCCUGGAGAAUUGUAUGCUCCCACCACUGAGGAUGAAAUUUUCUGCUGAUGAAUAAGAAGACCUUGCUGCCCAAGGCUCUCUGUUCAGUAAAUUUCCAUGAAAUAAAAGGAAAAACAAGAACAAAACAAAACAAAACCACCACCGCCACCAAAAAAAAACACUGUGUUUCUAUUUUUAAUGGUGGUCACUUCAAGAUAUAUUAAAUAGUUUUCAGGAGGUUGUUGUUGUUGCUAUUGUUUUGUUUUAAUAGAAAAGAAUGCUUGAAGCUAUAUUGGUAUCGGCAUAAGCAAUAUAAACAUCUUUUAUAUUUUUUAUUAGUGCUUCACGAGUGUCAACAGACACCUAUAUCACUAGUAUAUACUAUAAAAAAUCACUAUACUAAAGAGCUAGUAUAGUGAAUAAAUUAUAUUUUAUUUAUGAAUAGGUCACAGUUCAGAAAAGAUGAAUAUGAAGUUCUACAUGUAGGCAGGACUCAUCAGCUAGUCAGUACAAGACAAGAAACAACUAAGUGGGCAAAAGUUCUGUAGAAAAAGAUCUCACAUUUGGAGUGAAUGACAAAUUCUGCAUGACUCAGUGUUAUGCUACUGCAAACAAGACAAAUAUCCUACUGGGAUAUGUCAACAGGAAUGUAACCUGUAGGAUUAAUCCCUCCAUUCUGCUUAAUACAGGUAAAUCUUCAGCUCAAGUACUCCAUCAAGCUUCAAGAAUGAUGUAAAGCAAUUAUGCAGGGGCCAGAGAAAAGCAAUGAAAUAGGUCGGAGAUCUAGAAAAUAUGGCCUCUGAGGAAGGUAUCUAAGGUUGUUGAGUCUUAAAAAAAAAAUGGUGGAAAAAAUGUCAUAGCAGUCUUUAUGUAGGUAAAUACAUGCUAUGAUGAGAAAGGUAAUAUACUGCUCUCAAACAACAGGUUUCAAGGGCAGCAUGGGACACUGGGAAAAACAUUCUAAAAGAAAGAUUGAUUGGGUGUUUGAGUGGAGUGCAGUGAUGUUGAAUUUCUGUUACUGUAUAUUUUAAAGAAAAGGUUAGACAAACACCUGUCAGGAAUUAUUUAGGUCACUAGGAUAGAUAGAUGAAUGACUCUUCAGUUGCUUUUUCUAACAAUGGUCUCUAUUUUUCUAAGUAUAUGUGUGACUUCUGUUUUUCACAGGGUAGAUUACCUGAUUAUACAUCCAAGAAUAAUAAAAAAAAAAGCUUACACAACUUUUUGCACUGGGAACAAAUACAUACAUUUCUGACUUGCAGUAUUAAAUAACAAAUGGAAAUCUCACAAUAAUGUUCUGGUCUGUUGAAUAAUACAAGGAAGACUACACUUGAAUGAGUCAUUCUGUAUGCACUAGAAGUGUGGAAAAGAAGAGUCAGUUCUUAAUAGCCAAAAAAAAAAAAAAAAAAAAAAAAAGUAGUAAACAUAACUACUGGUAUUGCAGUCAAUUUACGGAAGGUUUUUUUUGUUUUGUUUUGUUUUUGGAUUUAUUUGAUAAAAUAUUUUUUCUAAUAAAGAAAUAUUAAGAGGAUAUGUAAAAGGAACCAAAAUAUUAAAGCAUGGUACUGAAGACUGCAUAAUAUUCUUUACAUUGGAAUAAGAAUGAUUAUUUACUACUUGUGUAAAAAUUCCUCAGAAAAAGCUUAACAGCAUGGCACAGACUUUGGAGAAGUUUAAAGUAAAAAUAAAAAUAAAAAAUAAGAUUAGGUGAAUAUGAAAUAAAUGUAUUAAAAUUGUGUAUGACAUGAAGACCAAGAUCAAAUACUGUGUGCUGCAGGAGACCGAGUGAAUGGACAGUUAAGCAUAGUGAUGUCCUCUUAAGUACUCUCAGCAAUAUAGAUAGGAGAAGAUUUGUAUUUCAUAAUUUGUAUUCUUGAAAAACUUAUAGAAAUAUCUGGGUAUUUUGUUUGUCAAGAAUGAAAGACUGAGCUAUAUUUUCUUUAUUUUAAUUCAGAGAAAGAUAAAUACAAGUCAUAAUUAUCAAACUGAGUAUCACUCUAGGGUAUAACCUUCUGCAGUUUGAUUAUAUCCUGUUGUAUUUGGUCUUACAUCACUUUGUACUGAAAUAAAAAUCAGAAUGAGUUAGAAAGGAAACAAUGAAAAAUAAACAAAGACCUAUUUCAACUUUAAUUUAUUCAUAGCUAUGAGGUAGUGAUAACAAAUUAGGGUUUCAGAUGUUAAGCUGCAUGUGGCAAAGCACCUUAGCAGCCAAUUUAAUGUGUUAAACAAAAGAAGCAACCAGGAAGAACCCCUGGGUCAUACCUUGAAAGCUAGGUUAGCUGAAGACAGCCCAUUUGGGUUGGCUAGCUGAAUUCAAGAC